CGUUGAUAGUGUUAUCCUUACAGCACUUUUUGUUUUGUUUGAAUGAGCUAGUUAUUAUACUUUAUAAGUAGUAUAAUCUCGAAUAAAGAAUGUGAAAUUUUGAAGAGGAAAAAAAAAGGUUGGCUACUUGGGUCAUGGUUGGUUUAGAUUAACGAGCCCUCUCCCUGCUCUUCCUGUCAUUCUCUCUUCCCCAUACCCAAUAGAAACUUGUGUGUUGUAACUCCGAUCUCACCAACUCAAAUAAAUAAGUAAUCAUGUUCUUGUUGUUUCUAAUUUAUGACUUGAUGUGUAAGUGUCGCAUAUCUUUUAACCUUGUCCGGUUUAUAUAUUUCUUUUGCUUUCUUUUACGAAGGAAAUGGUCUUAAGUAAUAAAAAUAUGCUUUUAUCUGCCUAACAGAAAAGCCUGCUUUCACGUCAAAAAGAAAUCAAGAAAAAGUUGCUUUUUCCAAAAAGAGCUAAAAAAAAAACAGAGAGAGGUACACCGGAAAAACAACAACAGAAAGAGUUACAUUUAAUUUGGCCCGAUUAAAGCCCAUUUAUGCUCUUACAGGCUCUCUCGGACCCAUUGACAUUUGUUCUAUUAUGUUUAGAUGAAACUCGGCGUUUUUUUUUUUUUUUUUACUCCGUUAUUUAUUUGCCUUUGGGACUGGUCUGGUGAGUCCAGUGGUCGUUUCUCGUGUACUCGAGUCUCAUCGGAAAGUCUUCGACUGAGUUCGUCGCUU